GCACUGCUGAGGAGUCCCACAAUAGGGCGAAAUGGCCGUCCAGUGC
rfam:Schistosoma haematobium scaffold53_12, whole genome shotgun sequence.